rnacentral:rRNA from 1 species
GCUUAACACAUGCAAGUCGAGGGGCAGCAUGGUCUUAGCUUGCUAAGGCCGAUGGCGACCGGCGCACGGGUGAGUAACACGUAUCCAACCUGCCGUCUACUCUUGGACAGCCUUCUGAAAGGAAGAUUAAUACAAGAUGGCAUCAUGAGUCCGCAUGUUCACAUGAUUAAAGGUAUUCCGGUAGACGAUGGGGAUGCGUUCCAUUAGAUAGUAGGCGGGGUAACGGCCCACCUAGUCUUCGAUGGAUAGGGGUUCUGAGAGGAAGGUCCCCCACAUUGGAACUGAGACACGGUCCAAACUCCUACGGGAGGCAGCAGUGAGGAAUAUUGGUCAAUGGGCGAGAGCCUGAACCAGCCAAGUAGCGUGAAGGAUGACUGCCCUAUGGGUUGUAAACUUCUUUUAUAAAGGAAUAAAGUCGGGUAUGGAUACCCGUUUGCAUGUACUUUAUGAAUAAGGAUCGGCUAACUCCGUGCCAGCAGCCGCGGUAAUACGGAGGAUCCGAGCGUUAUCCGGAUUUAUUGGGUUUAAAGGGAGCGUAGAUGGAUGUUUAAGUCAGUUGUGAAAGUUUGCGGCUCAACCGUAAAAUUGCAGUUGAUACUGGAUAUCUUGAGUGCAGUUGAGGCAGGCGGAAUUCGUGGUGUAGCGGUGAAAUGCUUAGAUAUCACGAAGAACUCCGAUUGCGAAGGCAGCCUGCUAAGCUGCAACUGACAUUGAGGCUCGAAAGUGUGGGUAUCAAACAGGAUUAGAUACCCUGGUAGUCCACACGGUAAACGAUGAAUACUCGCUGUUUGCGAUAUACAGCAAGCGGCCAAGCGAAAGCGUUAAGUAUUCCACCUGGGGAGUACGCCGGCAACGGUGAAACUCAAAGGAAUUGACGGGGGCCCGCACAAGCGGAGGAACAUGUGGUUUAAUUCGAUGAUACGCGAGGAACCUUACCCGGGCUUAAAUUGCAGAUGAAUUACGGUGAAAGCCGUAAGCCGCAAGGCAUCUGUGAAGGUGCUGCAUGGUUGUCGUCAGCUCGUGCCGUGAGGUGUCGGCUUAAGUGCCAUAACGAGCGCAACCCUUGUUGUCAGUUACUAACAGGUUCCGCUGAGGACUCUGACAAGACUGCCAUCGUAAGAUGUGAGGAAGGUGGGGAUGACGUCAAAUCAGCACGGCCCUUACGUCCGGGGCUACACACGUGUUACAAUGGGGGGUACAGAGGGCCGCUACCACGCGAGUGGAUGCCAAUCCCCAAAACCUCUCUCAGUUCGGACUGGAGUCUGCAACCCGACUCCACGAAGCUGGAUUCGCUAGUAAUCGCGCAUCAGCCACGGCGCGGUGAAUACGUUCCCGGGCCUUGUACACACCGCCCGUCAAGCCAUGGGAGCCGGGGGUACCUGAAGUGCGUAACCGCGAGGAGCGCCCUAGGGUAAAACUGGUGACUGGGGCUAAGUCGUA